rnacentral:rRNA from 1 species
GAUGAACGCUGGCGGCGUGCCUAAUACAUGCAAGUCGAGCGAACGGACGAGAAGCUUGCUCCUCUGAUGUUAGCGGCGGACGGGUGAGUAACACGUGGAUAACCUACCUAUAAGACUGGGAUAACUUCGGGAAACCGGAGCUAAUACCGGAUAAUAUAUUGAACCGCAUGGUUCAAUAGUGAAAGACGGUCUUGCUGUCACUUAUAGAUGGAUCCGCGCCGCAUUAGCUAGUUGGUAAGGUAACGGCUUACCAAGGCAACGAUGCAUAGCCGACCUGAGAGGGUGAGCGGCCAACCUGGAACUGAGACACGGUCCAGACGCCUACGGGAGGCAGCAGUAGGGAAUCUUCCGCAAUGGGCGAAAGCCUGACGGAGCAACGCCGCGUGAGUGAUGAAGGUCUUCGGAUCGUAAAACUCUGUUAUUAGGGAAGAACAUAUGUGUAAGUAACUGUGCACAUCUUGACGGUACCUAAUCAGAAAGCCAGGGCUAACUACGUG